CCUACGGGAGGCAGCAGUGGGGAAUAUUGCGCAAUGGGCGAAAGCCUGACGCAGCGACGCCGCGUGAGGGAUGAAGGUCUUCGGAUCGUAAACCUCUGUCAGCAGGGAAGAACGGUCACUUUGCUAAUCAGCAUUGAAUUGACGUUACCUGCAAAGGAAGCACCGGCUAACGCCGUGCCAGCAGCCGCGGUAAUACGGAGGGUGCGAGCGUUAAUCGGAAUUACUGGGCGUAAAGCGCUCGUAGGCGGUAUGCCAAGUCAAGGGUGAAAGCCCCGCGCUGAACGUGGGAACUGCCUUUGAAACUGGCAGACUGGAGUGUGUGAGAGGAUAGUGGAAUUCCAGGUGUAGGAGUGAAAUCCGUAGAUAUCUGGAGGAACAUCAGUGGCGAAGGCGACUAUCUGGAACAUAACUGACGCUGAGGAGCGAAAGCGUGGGUAGCAAACAGGAUUAGAUACCCUUGUAGUC
rnacentral:rRNA from 1 species